GGUCCGUUGGUCAAGGGGUUAAGGACACCGCCUUUUCACGGCGGUAACACGGGUUCGAAUCCCGUACGGACUA
rnacentral:tRNA from 1 species